AAUUCGGUGAUGGUGAUGUCAGCAGGUGUGUGAAAUGGCAUUGAAUGACCCGGAAGUAAUAAAUUCUAGGAUUCAGGCAGUUAUUCCCAGAGAAAACCUCAACCAUUCUACGCCCACCAUAUCGCGCGGCGAGAAGACUCAGUAAGGCAUACUCGGAGCCAAGUGGAGGUUACCUGUAGGCGGAAAAAGUUGAGCGACUGUUAUUUUUACCCCUUGUUAGAUCGAUAUUUGGCUUUGUAACAGCAUCGAGAAGUACUAUUAUAUGCACGAUUUCUUUUUCAAGGAUGGAGUUAAAAAGAAACUGGAGAAAAUAAAGAAGAAUCAUCUUUAUAUUUAUGCAACAAGAAAGAAAAAUGAAGCUACUCAUCUCAAAGCAUACUGGAGUCAAAGGAAUAAAACUAUACCUAAACAAAACCAUGUCAAUGAAGAAUUGGAAAACCAGAGCCUAUCAAGAAUUCACUGCAGCCAUCAAGAACUGAUUGAAAACGAAAUAACUUCCGGAGUGCAUGAAGUAGUGUACUAUGAAGAAAGCUAUCCGGCAAAGAAAAAAUUUAAACUUGAUAGCUGCAGUUAUCAAGUUCCGGAAGGUAGAGACUCACGAUGACACCUUGGCAGCCAGGGAGUAAAAACGGCACAAGAAAUUUCUUCAAGAGAAAAUGACACAUCAGAUGAAGAGAAUAACUACUCUGUAACCAAUGUCCUGCACAAUGAAGAUGGGCAGUGUAUGUAAGUCCCUUAGCCCACUUUAAAAAUAAGUUAAUUACAAAGUGUUUUUAAUACAUGCUAUUUUUCUUUCUUCAACUAUUUCCUGAAAAAUUGUUUACUUUUUUUCCUUCGUAUCAUUUGCACACGGUCGGGUAGUUAUAAUAUUACACGAAACUAGACAUUCUUUCGAAACUAUAUUUCUAUCUAAAUAAAUCAAUAUAAAUAGUUAAAUGUUAUUGCUACUGUAAUGUGGCUCUUUCAGCUCUACAGCCAUGUCUUACACAGAAAUGCAACCGCCUCUGAAACUAUUUGAGAUGGAAGCAGGAUGUUCUUUCUGGUCAACCACCGAAGGAGCCAUUGACAUUCCAUAUGAGCUGGUGGACAGGAAUGAGCCAACUGUAGACAGUAGAUGUAUCAACAAUUCAGAGACAAGCAAUCAGGUUAGCUGAAUAACAAUUAUAUUGCUUUUAAUUAUAUUGACCUGUUAAAAAAUUACAGUUAAGUUAUAAUUUAACUUUACGAAUAUACUUCAAUUGAAAAAUUACACAACUACUCAAACUACAUAAAUGUUUUUAUCAGAAAUUUCACUAAAAACAGGGCAAAAAAAUGAAUACAGUAAAAAAUCUUAUCCCCAUUUAGUGACAAUAGACAGCAUAUUUUACUGACCUUACUUAAAAGUGAUACACCAUCCCCAGUUAAAACAUAAACAGCAUUCAUAAGAACACUGAUUUAAGCACUGAAAAUGUUUAUAUUGUAGCAAGACUUUUCAAAGUAUGCAUCAUACAUUGGACAAAAAACUAUUAAAGAUACUACAGAUACUAUAAGUACUUUUACUGCUAUCAAUAUUCCUGUUUUAUUCGAAACUAGGGAAAAAAUAAUAUAUACAUAUUUUAUGCACAUAGAAAUAUAACAUGAUUUUAGGUACAUUAAUAGAUAUAAGUUAUUCAAAAAUAAUAUAUUUAUGAAUGAUUUCAGCCGAACAGUUUAUUCAUUACUCCAAGAAAAUAUCAACAUUUGGAUGAAUAUAUUGAACAUGUAAAGGAAGACAACGGUUUGAUACUAGAAAAGCAGCAAAAAUCCACUAUGGUCCUCAAUGUCAACAGCCUGACAUGGAUCCAGAAACAUUUGAGGAACAGAUUCAAGCUUUCCUCAGUAGGUUACAACUAACACAAGAGGACCGUCAACAUUUAGAGAGAGACACAAUUCUCCAGGCAGGAAGCGGAAAAUGGCUUGAAACACAUAGAAAAAUUCUAACAGCUUAGAAUUUCGGGAAAGUCUGUCGUAGACGUGCAUUAACAAGCUGCGUUAACUUAGUUCGCAGAAUUGUUUAUACCUCCGAUAUUUUGAACGUGCCUGCAAUUUAUCAUGGUAAAAGGUUUGAGGUGAUGGCUAUAGAACUAGAAAAACAAGAAGGAAUAUAAGGUUGGAAAAAGUGGACUCUUCAUUGACAAGGAAUUGCCUUUCUUGGGUGCCACUCCGGAAGGUGUUAUUGGAGAAAAGGGUCUUGCAGAAGUUAAGUGUCCAUCAUCUGCAAUUGAAAAAGAUGUUACUGCAGCAGUUAAACAAGGGAACAUCCGAUAUAUGAGUUCGAAGGAGAUGAACUGAAACUGAAAAAACACAUUCAUAUUUUUAUCAAGUUCAGGGACAGCUGCACAUUUCAGAGAGGGAAUAUUGCAUUUUUAGUGUUUGGACAUCAGUGGAAAAAGAGAUGGCAAUAUUUCGAAUUGAAAGGGAUGACAAUUUUUGUAAACAAGAGAUGGAACCACAUCUUAAAAAAUUCUAUUAUAACUGCAUUUUGCCAGAACUGGUGGACCCUAGGCAUACGAGGAGCAUGGAAAUUCGAGACCCUCCAUACAUUAUUGACGCUAUUGAAAAAAGAGCAAGAAAAAAAUUUGCUGCUGUCAAGACUUGUUCAGCUGCUCAUUAAUUACCUCUGUAGCGUAUCUUCUUAAAAAAUGUGGAAAUAUAAUAUGUAUUUUUUCUUAAAGUAUUUAUUGCGAUAUGACAUUAUUAUAUAAGAAAAUUUAAAAUCAGUGCGCUGUUAAAUUAUGCUUGUAAAAGCAGACCAUCUAAAUUUACUCAACUGUAUCCAUAAACUCAUAUGUUUAUUGUCUUUGUGGUGUGCAAAUGUGUUCAAAUUCAAUUAUAUUUGAUUAAAUAAGAUGUAUUUGUACAACUUCAUACAUUAACUUUUUUUUCUUCA